rnacentral:lncRNA from 1 species
GGAGGAAGUGAAGUACACACAAUGGAGUUUUAUGAACUUGGCUUGUAGUUUGAAGUAUGAACUAUUAGUGUUAUGUCGUUUGAACUAUGAACUAUUAGUGUCAUGUUGUUUGAAGUAUUUAUGAACUUGGCUUGUAGUUUGAAGUAUGAACUAGUAGUGUUAUGUCGUUUGAAGUAUUUAUGAACUUGUCAUGUUGUUUAGACUGUGAAUUUGGGUAUAGACUGUGAAUA